rnacentral:rRNA from 1 species
UUAACUGUGCAAAGGUAGCAUAAUCAUUAGUCUUUUAAUUGAAGGCUGGAAUGAAUGGUUGGACGAAGUAUAAGCUGUUUCAAAAAAAUUUAUUAUAGAAUUUUAUAUUUUAGUAAAAAAGCUAAAAUAUUAUUAAAAGACGAGAAGACCCUAUAAAUCUUUAUAUAAUUGUUGUUAAAAAUUUUUUAGGAAAUUUUUAUUUUUAAUAAUUAUUAUAUUUUAUUGGGGUGAUAUUAAAAUUUAAAAAACUUUUAAUCUAGAAUUUCAUUGAUUUAUGAGUUAUUGAUCUAUUAAUAAUGAUUAAAAAAUUAAGUUACUUUAGGGAUAACAGCG